rnacentral:lncRNA from 1 species
GGAGCACUCAAAUGAGAUUUUAGCAGAGUUUCAGGAUAGAGUUUAGAGCUUAGAGAAGAAUGUAUCUGGGAGUCCCUUUUUAUAGACGAAAAGUGUAAUUGAUUGACAGCGACGUCUGUAACUGUUUGGUAGUGGGCCAUUCGGGGCCAUGUGGAGUUCGUUACGGAGAGUAGUGGCGUCAGGGGGCCGUUCAGGGCCACGUGGAGUUUGUUAUGGAGAGUGGAGUGGUGUUGGUUAUCGUGACUUGCCAGAGAGUGGUGAAGCAAUGUGGAAUCCGUUACAGAGAGUGGAGUAGAGUAGUCGCCAUUAUCGUGACUUGCCAGAGAGUUCGCGCCUGACGGCUGAAGCUCAGCUGGGAUGUCUGAUGGAGUGGAAUGGCUCUCUGUCUUAGCAAUCCAGGAGAAGCUCAGAUGUUUUCGAGGUUGCUGACGAGUCUACUGUUGUCGAAUGCCUUAGGUGCUGAUGCUACAAGCGGGAGUUAUUUGCUGUAGAAGCUCGGACGGAGACUUUUUGUUGGUGAAGUCUGAUAGAAGUCUGAUUGCUAGAGAAGUCCAUUUGGGAUUUGCCUGA